UACGUAGGGUGCAAGCGUUGUCCGGAAUUAUUGGGCGUAAAGAGCUCGUAGGCGGUCUGUCGCGUCGGGUGUGAAAAUCCAGGGCUUAACCCUGGACCUGCAUUCGAUACGGGCAGACUAGAGUUCGGUAGGGGAGACUGGAAUUCCUGGUGUAGCGGUGAAAUGCGCAGAUAUCAGGAGGAACACCGGUGGCGAAGGCGGUUCUCUGGGCAUUACCUGACGCUGAGGAGCGAAAGCGUGGGGAGCGAACAGG
rnacentral:rRNA from 1 species